rnacentral:rRNA from 1 species
UACGGAGGGUGCAAGCGUUGAUCGGAAUCAUUGGGCGUAAAGUGCGCGUAGGCGGUCCGGUAAGUCGGGUGUGAAAGCCCCGGGCUCAACCCGGGAAGUGCAUUCGAAACUGCCGGACUUGAGUACGGGAGGGGGAAGUGGAAUUCCUGGUGUAGGGGUGAAAUCCGUAGAUAUCAGGAGGAACACCGGUGGCGAAGGCGACUUCCUGGACCGAUACUGACGCUGAGGCGCGAAAGCGUGGGGAGAAAACAGG